rnacentral:lncRNA from 1 species
CCAAAUCAAUUAUAAAUAACAUAAAAUUAGUGAUUAAUCAACCAAAAUAACAUUUAAUAAGCAUAAAAUUCAUACGAACUUACAUCGAUACCACGAUCAUUUUAAUGGAGUCGAAAACUAAUCCAACACCAUAGCUUUGCCCCAGUUCAAAUCCGAUUAUUGUUUUCUUGAUCUAAAUAAUAAUUUAACUCAAAUAAAUAUCUAAAAUAACUUCAAAUAUUCAAUUCAUACCCAUAAUCCAUAUUAAGCUACAAUUACAUGAUUACCC